UACGUAGGGGGCAAGCGUUGUCCGGAUUUAUUGGGCGUAAAGAGCGUGUAGGCGGCCAUGUAGGUCCGUUGUGAAAACUCGAGGCUCAACCUCGAGACGCCGAUGGAAACCAUGUGGCUAGAGUCCGGAAGAGGAGAGUGGAAUUCCUGGUGUAGCGGUGAAAUGCGCAGACAUCAGGAAGAACACCCGUGGCUAAGGCGGCUCUCUAGUACGGUACUGACGCUGAGACGCGAAAGCGUGGGGAGCGAACAGG
rnacentral:rRNA from 1 species